rnacentral:lncRNA from 1 species
GCCCGUGCCUCUCCCUCCACACCUCCCCGCAACUGAGGGAGCCGGCUCCGGCCUCGGCCAGCCCAGAAAGGGGCUCACACAGUGCAGGGCCGGGCUGAAGGGCUCCUUAAGGGCGGCCAGAGUUGGCGCCAAGGCUGAGGAGGUGCCCAGAGCGAGCGAGGGCUGCCAGGGCUGCUAGCAGGCUGUCACCUCUCAAUAGCAGUUUUGUAUAUGGGAUCUAGCCCCUCCCUAAGAGGUUGAUUCUAAGGAAGCCAACAGCCGUGUUGUGAGUACCCAAUGGAAAGUCUGUUGUGGCAGAAAACUGAUGUCUCCAGCCAACAGCACUGAGGCCCUGAGACCUGCCAACUGUCAUGAUCUUCCGAUGCCUGGACACAGAAAGAGCAGUGGAAGGGGUCGUUGCAUGAGCAAAGACAAAGAGUGGGACACUGACUGUUACAUCUCAAGGAGAAGGAUUGCCAGAUCAAAAGUCUUGCAGUUAACCAGGCGUGGUGGCAGAUACCUGUAAUCCCAGCUAUUCGGGAGGCUGAGGCAGGAGAAUCGCUUGUACCCGGGAGGCAGAGGUUGCAGUGAGCUGAGACCGCGCCAUUGACUCCUGCCUGAUGACAAGAGAGAAUCUACGUCUCAACAACAACAACACGCUUGGGCACUGUAUUAACUCCAUAAUCGGUUUAUUCAUAAUGCUGCAUCAUCCAACCAUCAUCCAACCUAUUUAUCAUUCACAAUGCCACCUGUGAAUACUGGCUUCCAUUGACUCUUUCAAGAAUUGCUACUGGGCCUCACCAAUGUUGACCACAAAUGCAAGUCAUACUGAGAGCCUCUGUGCUCUUUCCCCUGUGGACAAUAACUACCAUUUCAUCCUGGACACCCAUUGUUUGCCUGGACCACACCUUGUUAUGACCAUAACCCUCAGUCAGACUCAACCUUCCUUCAAGAUCUGCAGAUCUAAAUUUUAUUGGGAACAGCUAGUUUGACAAGCAUAGACCAGAUGUCCAGUUGUCAUUCAUUCAGCAGGAGCAGCAAGAUUCAAUCAUGUUUUUAUUAUAUUAUUUCCUGAAACUUGUGGCUGUAACAAUGAAGUUUGAGGAUUGGUCUGUGUAAGUAUGGCAGAAGUGAUGUUAAGUCGCUUAUGAGAUUAGGGUAUAAAAGACUAAGGCUUCCAUGCUUCCAUCUUGGUCUCUGUCUCUCAGAGAACAGUCAUGUGAAUGAUUCUUCUUGAAAGUAAAUCUUCCAGCCCCAGUCCAGUAUUCAAAUGAUCCAGCAACAUUGCAACUUAUGAGAGACCUUGAGCCAUCCAGGUAACAUGCUUCCAAAUCCUGACCCUUAAAACCUGUAAAAUAAUAAAUGUGGUUUUAAACUCUUAAGUAAUUUGUUACAUAGUAAUAAAUAGCUAAUACACCGUC